CGACCCCAGGUCAGGCGGAC
rnacentral:rRNA from 2 species